CACACAUGUAAUUUACAACCUUGGGAAGUGCCAAGAAGGGGAAGUGUUGGGUGCCACUGAGAACAUUCACAGAGGUUAACCUGGGGCUGAGGUGGAGGAAAGGUCAGAUGGAAGCUGUCUAACCACCCUGGGCUUCUGGCUUAGGAUGUGUAGGGCUAGCAGCUCAGCCCAUGAGGUUGUGUCUUGAACUUGGGUAUUGAUGGAAUAGCUAUAGAAACAGAACAACCAUGAAGUGAAGAUGGUGAAUGAAGAUCCUCUCAUCAGCUUGCGAUUGCAUGACAGAGGAGGCUGCAAGGACACUCAGGUGUGAAGACGGGGCAUGCAGAAGGAAGAGAGCCUUCCAGAGGAAAGUCGCCUUGUUCCUUGCUUUGUGACCCUCAUCUCUGCGAGGUAGAGA
rnacentral:lncRNA from 10 species